ensembl:lncRNA
GUGCUGAUAAAGAUUUUACAACAUACAGGACAGCCUCUUUUCCUUACCCCUCCAAAUAAAGAAUUAUUUAGCAUCAAAUGUCAAUAAUGACCUGGCUGAUUAAAUCUUCUUAAACCAGCCAAGACCAGUACUGAAUCUGACUAUGAGGUUUGCUUCUUCCAGGGGACCACUGAGAGGAUGUGUGGGAGAGGGAAGGAUGUCUGAGCAAAACUGGGAUUCUACUUAGAAGUAACAUCAGGCCGGCGCCGCGGCUCACUAGGCUAAUCUUCCACCUGUGGUGCUGGCACACUGGGUUCUAGUUCUGGUCGGGGCGCCGGAUUCUGUCCUGGUUGCCCCUCUUCCAGUCCAGCUCUCUGCUGCGGCCCGGGAAGGCAGUGGUGGAUGGCCCAAGUGGUUGGGCCCUGCACCCCCAUGGGAGACCAGGAGGAGGCACCUGGCUCCUGGCUUCAGAUCAGCACGGUGUGCCGGCCGCAGUGUGCCAACCACAGCGGGCAUUGGAGGGUGAACCAAUGGUAAAGGAAUACCUUUCUCUCUGUUUCUCUCUCUCUCUCACUGUCCACUCUGCCUGUCCAAAAAAAAAAAAAAAAAAAAGUAAAAUCAGGGAAGAACAGUGGGUUUGUGACUUGUGUCAUCUACUAAAUGUUGCCUGGAAUUUUCUGUUUCCAUUUUCUGUCAGUUGUGUAACUCAUGUGUAUUCUGCAGAUGGCAUUUUCUUUAGGAAAUUGUCUCUGCAUAUAGUCCCUUCUCUCAAUUUCUUCCUGUUUGCCAGGCUGAGUUGUCUACUUCUGAUUGACUCCAAAAACAUAGAGUACAUUAUAACAUUCAGCCUUUGGAAUUUAAUUAAUCUUUAUUUUUCAAUAGUGUGUAAUUUCUUUCAGUGUUGGAGACCAAGUACUAUUCAUGCAAAAAAUCCAUCAAGCAGCACAGCAUGAUUUCAACAGACUCUGGGCAUGGAUUUUUUUCACUGCAAAUUUUUACAAUCACUUCCCCUCCCAGAUAGGUAAGUAGGGAGAAUACAGAGAAGACUCUCAUGUCCCAUAGUUCAGUUUCAUUUUGUUAUGGUGCAUGUAACAGUAACAAGUAGGAAGAAUUAGGAAUUUAAGAUUUUUCUCCCUCUUCUUCUUUCUGUCCUCCUCCUCUCUUUUUUCUCCUUGUUUUUUCUUUCUGUAUUUGUUCUCAAUCUUUCUGUUGUAUAACAAUAAGUCGCUCACAUUUUCAGCUUCCUCUCAAAUCUAUUUCGCUUUCACCUAACCAGUACCCAUGGCCCACAGAUGCUCAUUCCUCAAAGUAUUUCAAAUCUAUCCCCUCAUUCUGCUCCUAAUUUUUUCAGAAUAUAUGAUUUAUCAUUUUACUAUUGUAAAAAUAUUUAUUUUUACUUAUUUGAAAGAGGAAGAGAGGGAGAGAAAGAGAGGAGAGAAAGGAAUCUCCCAUCCAGUGGUUUACUCCUCAAAUGCCGAUAAUAGUCAGGGCCAGCUAGGCUGAAGCCAGGAGCCAGGAACUCAAUGAAGAUUUCUCAUGUAGGCAGCAGGGUCUCGAGUGCUUAAGCUAUCACUACUGCCUCCCAGGGUACACAUUAGUAGAAAGCUGAAAUGGGAAGCACAGCUAGGGUUUGAGUUCCAGCACUCCUGUAUGGGAUGUGGUUGUCCCCCAAAAUAUCUCAACUGCUGUGCCAAGAGCCAGCCCUGAUUGCCACAGUCUUGUCUUGUCUUUUCUUUUCUUUUCUUUUCUUUUCUUUUCUUUUCUUUUCUUUUCUUUUUAUUAUUAUUUGACAGAGUUAGAGACAGUGAGAGAGAGAGAGAGACAGAGAGAAAGGUCUUCCCUCUGCUGGUUCACUCCCCAAAUGGCCACCACGGCUGGCUCUGUGCUGAUCUGAAGCCAGGAGCCAGGUGCCUCUUCCUGGUCUCCCAUGCGGGUGCAGGGCCCAAGCACCUGGGCCAUCCUCCACUGCACUCCCGGGCCACAGCAGAGAGCUGGACUGGAAGAGGAGCAACGGGGACUGGAACCCGGCACCCAUAUGGCAUGCCAGCGCCGCAGGUGGAGGAUUAACCAAGUGACCCACGGCUCCGGCCCCGCACAGUCUUCUAAUAUGUCUUCCAUUUGACACUCUCAUUUUUCUACAGUCCAUCUUUCUUUUUUUUAUGAAAAGUCAAUAAUAAAUGUAUAAUUUCUGUAGAACA